CCAAUAGAUGGCGCUGUUGCACUGUUGUAGCAGGAGAAACAUUAAGUUCUGGUCAAGUGCUCACCAUCUGCAGAAUAAGGACCAGAACUUUACAGAGGUAAACUGUGUCAGUUCUUUUACUAUUACAGCAGUUCAUCGUGGCCCUGUAGUUCGCCUCCUUCACCAAAGCUCUGUCAGGGACCUACAUGAAGAGUGCCAUCACUCAGAGAGACACUUUGACCUGUCCUGCUCUCUCAUCGGACUCAUAGACGGCAGCUUUGAGAUGGGUUUCAACAAUAACAUUGAGUUGCUUGAGAAUUCAUGUAGUAAAAACCAGAUACAGACUACAGUAUGAUCCAUUUUUUUGUGGUUCAAUCAGAGUCUGCUCUCAAUACUGUCCAGUUUUAUAGUUGUUCCUAUUAAUUGAUUGACUGGCGUUUGUCCAUGACUCUACUGUCAAACCCCUAACAUUGUUGUAUUUGAUGCUAUGUUGUUGCAGCCUAGUAUCCAAACUGAUAUGUCAUUUUUAGUUAAAAAAAUAACAGUGUUUAUAAUUUGCUAUUCCUGACUACUGUAGUGUUGUGGUUUCUUGCAGGUAACCUGCUGUUUCUGGCUGUGGUCAGCCAUUUUGGGGCGAAGCUGCACCGGCCCAGGUUCAUUGCUAAGGGCUGUUUCCUCAUGGCUGUAGGAUCCUCCCUCACAGGCCUGCCACACUUCUUCAUGGGACGGGCUAUCAGGAGAGCUACCCAAUCGCAGAGGGCCAUCGUGGCUUCAUCAGUGAUGCCAGACUCUGCAGAUGCAGAG